AACAUCUCAGUUCAGAUUGCAGGCUGCAACUCGCCUGCAUGAAGUCGGAAUUGCUAGUAAUCGUAGGUCAGCAUACUACGGUGAAUACGUUCCCGGGCCUUGUACACACCGCCCGUCAAACCAUGAGAGUUGGCAACACCCGAAGUCGGUAGUCUAACCGCAAGGAGGACGCCGCCGAAGGUGGGGUUGAUGAUUAGGGUUAAGUCGUAACAAGGUACC
rnacentral:rRNA from 1 species